UCUACUUAUCAGUCACUGCAGUUUCUGGUAGUAAAUAUUGCUGUGUAAAAUGGACAUUUUAAGACAAUUGAGAGAUUGGUAAGUUUUUAACAAAUACUUGUACAUUGCUUGUCACAUGACCUUACAGUUAAAUUGUCUCCGAUAAGAUAUAGCUCUUAAAAUAUUUUCCUCUAUUAAUUUUAAGUUCUUUAAAUGAUACUAAAUCAAAUGAAAAACUAUUACUGGAUCAUGGUUUAGUGUUAUGCACAUUCACCCAAGGAUAAAAAUGGCAUUUGAAAUGAAGUGGCAGCGAUAAACACAUAAUGAGUUCCCCCCCCAGCCUGUCUUUUAUCCUUUGAAUAGUAUUAGGAAGUUGAAAUAGAUACUAAUACUUGAUUGUUUUAAGCUACCAGGAUAAAUAAACUUCAGGACACUUAAUUGUGUAGGUGUAGUAAUAAAAGUUUUGCUUUGUACUGUGGUGAAUUUGGAACUGAUGAGGAAAUUUCUCUAAGAUCCUUGAAGAAAAUACACACAUACACAGUAUAUUUUUUUAAGUGGUCCAUUCUCUUCUCUGUUCUAAUUGACAAUAUUUUUGGUAGCUCGUGGAGUUGAUUGUCCAGAAGACCUUAGUUUUUCCAUGUCUCCGUUUCAUUUUGUUCUUAAAUGCUUUCAUGAGAAAUACAUCCUUCUCUCUCUCUGUCUCUCUUUUAAUCAUUUUAUGCCUUUUAUUUCUGACUGGACAAAUAGUUUAUUAAUGUGCAGUACUGAUGAUCCAGUGUCCAAGUGAUCUAGAUACAAGCAGUGGUUUUACAAGUCCUGUGGUUAAAAUUUACUCCAAAGGAACUCAACGUCUUGUAAUUGAGUUUUUAUUGUCAUCCAGGUACAAAUUCUCUAAAGU
rnacentral:lncRNA from 1 species